rfam:Drosophila simulans chromosome 2R, whole genome shotgun sequence.
AUUUUCGCAAGUGCCUGGUUUCAGAGAGGUGUAAUUUUUGUUGUAUAGUACCCUUUUUUGGAACCAAGCCCUUUGAGAAA